AUGCUGGUGCAAGAGAUAGCUUUGUCACUAUUAGGGAUGGGAGCAGAUGAAGAAAGAAUGGAAGGCAGAGGAAGACAGUUCUUGAUGCUGGAUUCCUUCUCCACGCUCCUGGAGCUUGUCACGCUCCGCCAUCGCUUGGUAGAGGUGGCAACAGAGAGUGCACAGUUAGCCAGGUUAUAUAAGGCUUUUGCAAUGGAAACAGGUUUUGGGGAGUUCCAUUUGUAUCUGAGGCCAGCACACUUUGAAUCUGCAGUUCACAAGGAGAAAGCAGACCAUCUCCCGCCAAUAUUCAUUACCUCUCUCUUGGAAGAUGACAGCUGUGUUGACAGAUAUAUCCCAUCUAGCUUACCAUUAAGCAUUCAAGAAAUCGACAGUCAUAUCGGAAAUUUUAGUUUUCGUACAAGAGAUGCUGUCAUGCAGCUCUUGUGUCCAUCUGGAAUAAAGAACAUGCAACUUAUCCUUGCCUGCCAGGUCACUCAGAAAAAUGCUCUUUUGGCAGCUGUUCAGCAAGCCUCAUUUUGUUACCUGGUCCAGCCUGCCCAUACCCUGGACAUAAAGGCCUCCUGA
rnacentral:lncRNA from 1 species